UGGAGUUGCUAUUUAGAUAUUUAAUAAUUAAGUUUUGGGCAUAUUUGUCCACCCGUUCAGUUUUUCACAUUAUCUAUUACAUCAGUAAUUUAUUUCGUCAGGAUAACUACCAAAUAUGGUAAUGGCCCUCGGCUAAACACAGAGCCAAUCCGCCAUUUUUUCUUCUCGCUAAGAUUUUUUGUAGUCCUAUUGGAAAAAUGCAGAAUGUCUGGUUAUUUUAGCCACACACAGCUCAAAAGUGUUCCUCGUUUUAAGGAAGGGUGGUGUGGCAGUAUUUAAACCCAGGAGCUGAUGACACUACUGCUAAAAAAACACAGAAGAAAAAGUAGUGUGUUUGUGUGUGUGUGUGUGUGCGUGCGUGCGUGCGUGCGUGCGUGGUUCGUUCGUUCUGUCUCCAGGCUAGUGGCUAAGUACUGAGGGCUUCAUCUAUCUAAAAGGAGUCAUUUCCAUCUGAAUGUGGCAGCACCGGGACACAGCAGCAGAGCGAGUCCACAUCCAGAAGGCUGGAGCCGUGUUUCACUGACAGGCUGUCAGACUAAAGCCCUGAUGAGCUCAGCAGGGACAAACUGGUCUGAUGUUUAGGAACACAGAACGUUCAGAUGUUGGCGUUUCACGUCACCU